AUCUCUUAGAUAACCCAGGGGAGGGCUGGCCAGGGCCCAGGCAGCCUGGGAGAGCUGCAAGCAGCAACACAGUGGAGCAGGUGACUGCUUUUCUCAGCAGGAAGUUUCCUCUCUCCUGAAAAGAAUUCUUCAUCAAUGAUGGAAUGACACCAUCUCCCUAAGUAGCUCUGUGGAAGGGACACACGUGCAGCUAUUGAGGAUCUUCUGUAGCAGACCCAUGCUAGAAUAACACUUCUCUGAAGUUCCUUGCUGAUAUUAACACAACUCAGUUGCUCUGAGGACAUGAUAUCUCAGCACACAGCAAACAAGACAGUGCUGCAUUUGCUCACUGUGAAGCUAAUCGACUCCUUGUCAACUGGAUCUGAACUAACUUUUGAAGCAAAUCCCUGUCUCUGGGGUUUUUCUCAGAAUGACGAUUCCGGGGCAUGUCUACUCUUCUGCAGCCAUGCACCUGCCUGCUGCUAAUGCUGCUUUUAUCAAGAACAUGUCAUGAGGUAACUCUGGGUAAUUUAAAGAACUCACAGCAGUUCUGACACAAGUCACCACCCACACUAUAAUCUGCACCAAUGCAAUUAGAAUUGAUUGAGCCACUGCAAACAACCAAUGGCAAAACAAAGGUUUCCCAGUAUAUACUUAAUUAAGAUGAUCUAUAAAUAUGGAUUAAGUUAAAAGGUCU